rnacentral:rRNA from 1 species
GGAUCAGCCACACUGGAACUGGAACACGGUCCAGACUCCUACGGGAGGCAGCAGUGAGGGAUUUUGCGCAAUGGGGGAAACCCUGACGCAGCAACGCCGCGUGAGUGAAGAAGGCCCUUGGGUCGUAAAGCUCUGUCGACAGGGAAGAAAUUAUUUCAUAUUAAUAGUAUGUUGUAUUGACGGUACCUGUAGAGGAAGCACCGGCUAACUCCGUGCCAGCAGCCGCGGUAAUACGGGGGGUGCAAGCGUUAUUCGGAAUUAUUGGGCGUAAAGGGCGCGUAGGCGGUCUUGUCGGUCAGAUGUGAAAGCCCGGGGCUCAACCCUGGAAGUGCAUUUGAAACAGCAAGACUUGAGUACGGGAGAGGAGAGCGGAAUUCCUGGUGUAGAGGUGAAAUUCGUAGAUAUCAGGAGGAACACCGAUGGCGAAGGCAGCUCUCUGGACCGAUACUGACGCUGAGGCGCGAAGGUGUGGGUAUCGAACGGGAUUAGAUACCCCGGUAGUCCACACAGUAAACGUUGUUCACUCGGUGUAUCGGAUAUUAAAAUCUGAUGUGCCCAAGCUAACGUGGUAAGUGAACCGCCUGGGGAGUACGGUCGCAAGACUAAAACUCAAAGGAAUUGACGGGGGCCCGCACAAGCGGUGGAGCAUGUGGUUUAAUUCGACACAACGCGAAGAACCUUACCUGGAUUUGACAUCCUGUGAAUCUUUCAGAGAUGAGAGAGUGCCUUCGGGAACACAGUGACAGGUGCUGCAUGGCUGUCGUCAGCUCGUGUCGUGAGAUGUUUGGUUAAGUCCAGCAACGAGCGCAACCCUUAUCGUUAGUUGCCAGCACGUAAUGGUGGGAACUCUAGCGAGACUGCCCCGGUUAACGGGGAGGAAGGUGGGGAUGACGUCAAGUCCUCAUGGCCCUUAUAUCCAGGGCUACACACGUGCUACAAUGGUAAGUACACAGGGCAGCAAGCCAGCGAUGGUUAGCUAAUCCCUAAAGCUUAUCUCAGUCCGGAUUGGAGUCUGCAACUCGACUCCAUGAAGUUGGAAUCGCUAGUAAUCGCGGAUCAGCAUGCCGCGGUGAAUAUGUUCCCGGGCCUUGUACACACCGCCCGUCACACCAUGAGAGUUGAUUAUACCCGACGUCGUUGGGCUAACUGUUUACAGAGGCAGGCGCCUAAGGUAUGGUUGAUAAUUGGGGUGAAGUCGUAACAAGGUA